UGACAUUUAGGAUACCCGGGUAGUCCUAGGGCGUUAAAAUGAUUGCGAGUUUAAGUNUGGGGGCAUCUACGAGAUGGCCCUGUGCUGUAGGGUAGCCGUUAAACUCGCUGCCUGGGGAGUACGGUCGCAAGGCUGAAACUUAAAGGAAUUUGGCGGGGGAGCACCACAAGAGGUGGAGGCUGCGGUUCAAUUGGACUCAACGCCGGAAAACUCAUCGGGAGCGACAGCAGUAUGAUUGCCAGGUUGAUGACCUUGCUUGACAAGCUG
rnacentral:rRNA from 1 species